GCCCAUAUGGCUCAGUGGUUAGCGCGUAUCGCUCGUACUAGCUACGACACGAUAAGGUCCACGGUUCAACUCCGUGUGUGGGCA